rnacentral:rRNA from 1 species
GACGAACGCUGGCGGCGUGCCUAAUACAUGCCAGUAGAACGCUGACGGAGGAGCUUGCUUCUCUGGAUGAGUUGCGAACGGGUGAGUAACGCGUAGGUAACCUGCCUGGUAGCGGGGGAUAACUAUUGGAAACGAUAGCUAAUACCGCAUAAGAGUAGAUGUUGCAUGACAUUUGCUUAAAAGGUGCAAUUGCAUCACUACCAGAUGGACCUGCGUUGUAUUAGCUAGUUGGUGGGGUAACGGCUCACCAAGGCGACGAUACAUAGCCGACCUGAGAGGGUGGUCGGCCACACUGGGAACGAGACAAGGCCCAGACUCCCACGGGAGGGAGCAAUAGGGAAUCUUUGGCAAUGGGCGGAAGUCUGGACGAACAACGCCGGGUGAGUGAAGAAGGUUUUCGGAUCGUAAAGCUCUGUUGUAAGAGAAGAACGAGUGUGAGAGUGGAAAGUUCACACUGUGACGGUAUCUUACCAGAAAGGAACGGCUAACUACGUG